AUAUUGCACAAUGGAGGGAACUCUGAUGCAGCAACGCCGCGUGAGUGAAGAAGGUNUUNNGAUCGNANAACUCUGUCAUUGGGNNNNNAUAAAUGACGGUACCCAAUGAGGAAGCCCCGGCUAACUACGUGCCAGCAGCCGCGGUAAUACGUAGGGGGCGAGCGUUGUCCGGAUUUACUGGGCGUAAAGGGUGAGUAGGCGGUUAUGUGUGUCAGGUGUAAAAGGCGUAGGCUUAACUUACGUUAGCACUUGAAACUGCAUAACUUGAGUGCAGGAGAGGUAAGUGGAAUUCCUAGUGUAGCGGUGAAAUGCGUAGAUAUUAGGAGGAACACCAGUGGCGAAGGCGACUUACUGGACUGUAACUGACGCUGAGUCACGAAAGCGUGGGUAGCAAACA
rnacentral:rRNA from 1 species